AUUGGACGCUGGCGGCAGGCUUAACACAUGCAAGUCGAGCGGGGAAGGGUAGCUUGCUACCUAACCUAGCGGCGGCCGGGUGAGUAAUGCUUAGGAAUCUGCCAUUUGGUGGGGGACAACAUCCCGAAAGGAAUGCUAAUACCGCAUACGUCAUACGGGGAAAGGCAGGGGAUCCCCGGACCUUGCGCUAAAUGUGGAGCCAAAGUCGGAUUAGCUAGUUGGUGGGGUAAAGGCCUACCAAGGCGACGAUCUGUAGCGGGUCUGAGAGGAUGAUCCGCCACACUGGGACUGAGACACGGCCCAGACUCCUACGGGAGGCAGCAGUCGGGAAUAUUGGACAAUGGGCGGAAGCCUGAUCCAGCCAUGCCGCGUGUGUGAAGAAGGCCUUAUGGUUGUAAAGCACUUUAAGCGAGGAGGAGGCUACUUAGAUUAAUACUCUAGGAUAGUGGACGUUACUCGCAGAAUAAGCACCGGCUAACUCUGUGCCAGCCGCCGCCGUAA
rnacentral:rRNA from 1 species